GGGAGGCCCACGGGGGUAGCGGGAGGCCCACGGGGGUAGCGGGAGGCCCACGGGGGUAGCGGGAGGCCCACGGGGGUAGCGGGAGGCCCACGGGGGUAGCGGGAGGCCCACGGGGGUAGCGGGAGGCCCACGGGGGUAGCGGGAGGCCCACGGGGGUAGCGGGAGGCCCACGGGGUAGCGGGAGGCCCACGGGGUAGCGGGAGGCCCACGGGGGGCAGUGUCUGUCAGCCCUCCAGGUCUCGUUUGACCUCACAGGGGAACAGGACCGUGUCUGUCAGCCCUCCAGGUCUAGUUUGACCUCGCAGGGGAACAGGACCGUGUCUGUCAGCCCUCCAGGUCUAGUUUGACCUCGCAGGGGAACAGGACCGUGUCUGUCAGCCCUCCAGGUCUAGUUUGACCUCACAGGGGAACAGGACAGUGUCUGUCAGCCCUCCAGGUCUAGUUUGACCUCACAGGGGAACAGGACAGUGUCUGUCAGCCCUCCAGGUCUAGUUUGACCUCACAGGGGAACAGGACAGUGUCUGUCAGCCCUCCAGGUCUAGUUUGACCUCACAGGGGAACAGGACAGUGUCUGUCAGCCCUCCAGGUCUAGUUUGACCUCACAGGGGAACAGGACAGUGUCUGUCAGCCCUCCAGGUCUAGUUUGACCUCACAGGGGAACAGGACAGUGUCUGUCAGCCCUCCAGGUCUAGUUUGACCUCACAGGGGAACAGGACAGUGUCUGUCAGCCCUCCAGGUCUAGUUUGACCUCACAUCUCCCUGGUUAAAUGGAACUGGACUCGUCACUCGCUGCUUCUCAAUGUUUUAUGGAGUGUCUGUAUGUUAUUAUAUGAUCACAUUUUAAAACUACUUAUGUGUUGACCUCUAAAUACCCUGUGAACUAUUUUGAUUGAGAAAAAAUAAAAAUAAUAAAUAGAUUUAUGUCAAA